UGCGUAGUCUGCAAAGCACACUACCUUAAUCCUCGCCGCCAAGGCUGCGGCGACGACGAGUAUCCCGCCGGACUUUAAGCCAUCUCUGCCCGGCACCAGGGGUAUCAUUCAAGAUGGAUGCUGGCACGGACUCUUCUAAAGUGCCUUAAGACUCAGAAGAUAAGGUAUUGGUGGCGUGUCUGUCCGCAGCCCCUACCCGACAACCAAUGACAGAAUAAACGUGUAGAAAGCUUUUGGGUGCUAUGUUUGGACGGCGGUUCGAGUCCGCCCAUCUCCACAA
rnacentral:tmRNA from 1 species